rnacentral:lncRNA from 1 species
CCCGAUCUCUCCUCUCUCUCUCCCUCGCACACGAACAGGUUGCGCCGCCACCGUCGUCGUUUCGUUUGGCUCCCACCUCCUCAUGGCGCAGUCCAUGCCCACCCCGUUGGAAUGUCGCCUCCGUCUCCGUUUAGCCGUCGAUGUCCUCCAUCUCUUGUCUUCCGUCUGAAAGGCCAACAGAGAGCAUCUAUUUCUGGGGGCGGCCACGAGAUCCAUCACCAGAUCGGUGGCGCACCGCACCCCUCAAGCAUGUAUCCAAUUUUUAUCUGGAGUCCUUGGGCGGGCCGCUGCCAGAUCUGCCACGCUCGUGUACACUAUAGCGAUGCAGCGGUGAGCAACAGAAGCAACAGAGAGUUUCGGGCACCGCUGGCGAUGUCGUCGUCAUGGAACAUGUUGGGGCUGGAGGUGAUCUACUAGGUCAUCGAUUAGGUGGACCGCCUUCUUCGCCCGGUCGUUCAGCAUCUACCUGCAGGUCAUCCUCAACUACAAGUGCAAGAGGUGCUCCUUCAAUCCCUUCCGUUUGUCCUUGGCUAUAUAGUGUUCUUGGGCUAAAUCUGUUUGACCAGCUGUUUGCUUGUUCCUCAGUCUGUGCAUGAGGAUUCACUUAAUCUUUUCCACACAAAAGAGUCUUUGCUUCCUUUUUCAUGUAUACGUGUCUUGAUUUUGGAAAUAAAAUCUUCAUAUUGAUGGACGGACCUGAGAAAUUUGUCCAGUACAGUGUCAAAUAUUUAUAAACUGCAGUUUUCUUUGAGCUGAUGAUGAAUUGUAUCUUCGGGCAGCUGGAAAUUGUAGGAAUUGCCUUGAUUGCUUUCCUCCUAUGGCAAGAUAAUGGCCCUGUUUACAGGAGGGUGGCAUGUAUGGAAAGUAUCGGGAAAACAAAAGGUAUUUAGUACCGAGUAAAAUGAACAUUGGCAUAUAGUAGAAAAUGUGGUGUAUAUACGCACUGCAGUUGGUUGUGGUGCUUAUAAACUAUUUAAUUUAUGCUCUGUUGUCCAUCUUAUCAUGAUUGUUGUAUAUCAAUUCCUGCACUUAUGGCUAAAUAAAAAUCAUGACUGGAAAGAAGACUCAAGGAAUAAGAACAGACCAUUAGGAUAUUUGGAUCAGAUCAAAACCAAAAAAUCGUCACAAAACCGAAGAUAUUUGGAUCAGACCAUUAAGAGUUUUGGUGGUUUCCACAACUGUAUGAAAAAUUGGAAUUUAAAUUUUGGACCCAUCAAGAUUUGUACUUGUGGCAGUAUGGUCUGAUUGUGUUUAUUUUAGUAACCACAUCGUCCACAACACGGCUUUUCAUAGGUAUUGCUUUCCCUUGCCCAUUCCGAUAAUUAAUUAAGCUUUAUCCUAAAAGCCAAUUUUAUCAUUCAACCCUUAAGAAAUGUGUUAUGCACAGAGAAGUGGCCUUCAAGUGUGAAGUCAGAUACAAACUAACACAUGUUGAUGCAGUUGUUACCACAUACACACUCUUAGUUAUUUUCCUAUCUGACCAAAUGAUAUCUACUCUUUGUCCAGUUCUUGCAAAAAGGAAUGGAUUAUUGAAUGUUUGCCACUCCAUGGUAUGCUUGAUUGUUGUGUGCUUUUUUGAGCAAAUUGGAUAAUUUGUGGAAAAUCUGAAUUUUAUAUGACGGUCUGAACUUUCUUUGUGCAUGAUUGUUGAUAAAUUAUUUUAUCUGAGAUUUGCUAAGCCAAAUUUAGGUGAGCAUAGCAUUCCAGCACAUCAAGACAAAUGUAUAUUGUAGUAUUUCCAAAUUAUCGAUAUGGGAGGUGACAAGAGUAGUGUUGUUAAGGGUGUUUUGUUCCCACUACGAUUUGUGUUUCUGUUCUUAGACUUUUUGCAUGUUUUGUAACGGUAUUACAAAGCUUUCAUCAAGGUCAAUGCACACAGAGGUGACGCUGGAGCUGUCUUGCUCGAGGUUAAUUUUAUCCUACUUCGGCUCCAUUGCGCAAAGAUGAACAACAACCCAAGAAAAUUCGGUGCAAAAGACAAUAAAAGUAAUAAGUUAUCACCACUAUGAGCCCCCCUUUGGUUAAAGAUAACUUUACAUAACAACGUUGCAUGAUAAUUUGGGGUUUAAUCCUAAGAUACUCAUUUUUUAUGUGAUAUAAAGUGUUUCAUCGUCCCUUUAGCCUAAUAACACACUAUCUCACUGAAGGUUUCUUCUGUGCUUUCUAAUUAAUGGAGUGACUGUCGAGAUUUGAAUAGCGAAUGUUUUCAAUGUUUGAACGCCACAAUCUCCGUGGAAGGCAUACAUAUAGAACAAUUGUUUUAUUUUAUUAAGCUGAAGCAUGUCAAAGAUUAUUUAGUUACUUUGAUGGAAAAAAACAUUGUAUUCACUUAGUACUCAACAUAACAGAAAUUAUGUUGAACUUCCUAUCAUUGAAACAUGAGAUUUUCCACUGAAAGUUUAUUUAUGUGUCCUACAACAACUUUCAUUAGCAUCUAAUCCUCCAUCCUAUCUUUUUGUUCUGUUAUUCGUUGAGGAGUUCUGUGGGGGUCGUUAGUCUAUUGGAGAAUGUGGGAGAGAGAGAGCAAGGCUGUUCUUCUUAAGUUGCUUGCACGUUUGUAGGUUAGCCCCAUAUCUUUGUACAAGUUAAUCCGUGCUCUCUCACAUCAACUUCUUUUUGUUUGAUGGAUAAAUCUUCAUUCAUUAAACAGCUCUUUAUGAACUAACAAACAUAUAAUCUUGUAGGUACCUUCAUGGCACGAGAUGGACAAUUUCAAUCCACCCUUUAUUCCAAAUUGUCUUACUGAUUCAUGCUAAGCAACUAUGAAAACUUCUGGAUGACCCUUUUUUAUAUAUUGUGUUUGAUGUAUCUACAUUUCAGAAACCUAGAUCAUGAAUGUGGAUGGAAGCAAAUCGCUUAAAUUGCAAAAUAAAGAAUGCAUUAUACAAAGUAUACAAGUUGCUUUGUAUCACUAACAAGAGCCAAAAUAGACGGGCGCAGCAACACG